rnacentral:rRNA from 1 species
ACUCCUACGGGAGGCAGCAGUGGGGAAUAUUGGACAAUGGGGGCAACCCUGAUCCAGCCAUGCCGCGUGAGUGAAGAAGGCCCUAGGGUCGUAAAGCUCUUUCAACUGUGAAGAUAAUGACGGUAGCAGUAGAGAAACCCCGGCUAACUCCGUGCCAGCAGCCGCGGUAAUACGGAGGGGUUAGCGUUGUUCGGAAUUACUGGGCGUAAAGCGCACGUAGGCGGACUAUUAAGUUAGAGGUGAAAUCCCAGGGCUCAACCCUGGAACUGCCUUUAAUACUGGUAGUCUUGAGUUCGAGAGAGGUGAGUGGAAUUCCGAGUGUAGAGGUGAAAUUCGUAGAUAUUCGGAGGAACACCAGUGGCGAAGGCGGCUCACUGGCUCGAUACUGACGCUGAGGUGCGAAAGUGUGGGGAGCAAACAGGAUUAGAUACCCUGGUAGA